ensembl:lncRNA
ACAAGAGGUUACAGAACCACUGCCACAGGAGACUGAUUCAGCACAGGAACUGGAGACAGCUGCAGCUCAGCUCAGACAGGUUGCUGCAGAACAGGAACAGAGGACUGCUGCAAGGCAGAGCAGGAGGCCGGCAGCUGGAGGUCUGGACGGGGAUCAGGAAAGACCGCCGGUCCGGCUCUGGAGCCAGUCUGCUGACCUGCAGACCAGGAAGCAGGAACAGGUGUCGACUGGGCCGCCGACUGAGGACCAGGAACUGGUGGACCUGCUGGUGGAGCUAGAUAACAAGUCAGAAUCAACAAAGUCAAUGAAUGAAGUUCAUCCUCUGGGGACCAAGAAUGCGUGUAGAAAAUGUCAUGUCAGUCUAUCCAUCCAUCCUUUGGUCCAGGUCCAAUCCAUGUGGACUAAAGUAGUGGAGCGACAGACAUUAGCAUCCACAGAGCAACACUGCUAGUGUGUCUAAAAAGACAAUAAAAGAAGAGACAGUCAUGUUGAUAUGAACAUUAGAGAAACACAUCAUGGAGCUGAAACAUGAUCCUGCUGCAUCAUUUGGACUCGUUCAUCUCAGCCGACACGUUCAACAGCACACAGGUUUUUGUAUUACUCUUUCUCACUGUGGGAAGAAAUGAUUACCUCGCCUUUCUCUCUGGAACUAAACUGUUUGUAACAGCUUCAAAAGAGCAGGUAGUGAAGCCCGUGGUGAGCGUGUACCCAGCAGCAUCCAGAGCCCACCUGGAGGGGAGGAGCUCCCUGCUGUGUGUGGCCUCAGCCAUGUUUCCUCCUCUGGUCAAGUUCUCUUGGAAAAGACGAAAGGAGGAUCAGGUGGAGUCGCUCCUUGGUGAGGAAGAGCAGCUGGAGCUCAGAGAGUCGGGACGCGCCGCCGCCAUCUUGCUGGUUGACAGGAACGCUACCUUCAUGUAUAAAUACCGCUGCUCCGUCCAGCACGAGGGGGGCACAGUGGAGGCCCAAACAGAACAAGGUAAUGAAGGCUUGGUGACUGUGUUCAGCAGUGAUUCAGCUUCAUGUGGAGACGCUGUCAAAGAGAGCAGAGGAGCAGAGGACUGACAUUUCUUUUGGCCUCUUUUCUGUUUCAGAGGUUCCAGCAGCUGCAGCAGCCUCCUGUCCUCCAGAGAGAGAGCCAGCAGACCUGCCAGCUCUGCAGCAAGCUGACUGUAAGAUCACCUGCUGCCUCUCUGCAUGGACAGCUCCAAUGUUCUGCUGCAGUUAGGGCUGCAGAUCAGUCUGUUCACUUUCUGCUCAUCAUUGAAGGAUUUAAACAGACACUCCCUGAUUCUGUUAGAGUGUCCAACAGCACAACUAAUCCCAAUGAGAGAGCUUUCACUCCACACUCUGACAAAUGACACGUUUUAGGGACACUAUACUACAUUUUGGUUUUUGAGGCUGCUAUAACAACUUUGGGGAUUUUAUCUUAAAGCUCCACUAUAAAUAUUUCUAUAUGAAGAAUAAAUCCAAUGACUGUGUGUGCAGUGAAAGGUGAAAUUAACACUGUGUGUGUGUGUGUGUGUGUGUGUGUGUGUGUGUGUCAGUGUCCUUCCAGUCUCAGUGCAGGGUGAAGCUGCUCUGUGUGCUCUACACAGUGCUGAUAGUGAAGAGUCUGGUGUACUGCUGUGGACUCUCUCUGCUGAGGAUCCUCUGAAACAAGGGACCGUCCACCAACUGCUCACAUGCUGACUGACUGUUUUCUGCUCGCCUUUUCUCACCAUCAAAUCUCAUCAGUUCGUCUCAUUGAUCACUUUGAUCAGCAGUCACAAAUGUCAAUGUUCAUGUUUUGUGGUUGGUUGUAAAAUGUAUCUUUUGAUGCACAGGUUAGAUUCAGUCAUCCUACAUAUAUAAAUACAUAUAUACACAUAUAUAUCUGCAGUGACUGAGUAUAAAUUCUGUGCUAUAGUGUUAUUUUCAUCCUCUAGUUUAUUUCCACUUUGAAUUGUGACUUGUAUAAUAAUAGAACAUGAAGCUGAAUCAUUAGCUGUCUGCUAGAUAUUUGAUUGUUUUAGUAUUUUUCUCUUCCUGUCUUUCUUUUUAAUACAUUAUGCAGAGUGUGGCAGCUUUGUUCAAUUCUUUCAGU